rnacentral:rRNA from 1 species
UGGUGGAGUGAUUUGUCUGGUUAAUUCCGUUAACGAACGAGACCCCCGCCUGCUAAAUAAUCGUGAUAAUGUUUAUUCAUUGGGCACGGUUUCUUAGAGGGACUUCUUGUGUUUAACUGGAGGAAGUUAGGGGCGAAUAACA